GCUAUUAUGGUGCAGCCGGAGACGGUGUCCGACGGCAUGGUGAACCUCAUGGCAAGUCCCGAACGGGAAGGGCCAGGAGGUGCUAUGGAGUCAUACACGAUGAUAAAACUCUGUUUCAACCGUGGCAGGUUUCAGAAUUCAUAUUUCCAGUAGCCAACAUGGAACUGAUAGUUUGAACAUCCUGUAGGUGGCCCUUUGAACUCCCGAGGGUGGUGAGAGAGGUGUAUACAAGUGAUACCUACUGUUGUGCUUUGUGGAAGAUCAAUGACAAAGGUUCUCUGGGUCGCUGCUGUUGUGGUUUGUGAAAUUUUUCUGAAGUAAGAAAGCAUCAGUCCUCUUAUUUUCUGUCCUCUAUGAAAGAAUGUAGCUCGCUCUUUCAACCCGGGGCCCCCUCUGGGGAACUGUUUGAGUUUUAGCAUCGAUCCCAUUUCCUUUUGAUCGUAUUAUGCUUGACUCGCUGCAAAACAUUUCGCUUUCUGCGCUCGAAUGCUUCAGGUUUUAUAUAUUGUGACAUUGAACAAUGGAAAUGGAAAUUUUGUUUUGUGAGGAUCUGGUUGGAGCCUUUGUUGUCAAGUUUAUAAGCAGGUAAGAAACUAACCGAGGACAACAUACAAAUUGUAACUGUAGUUACAUGAAAAGAUGAGGAUGAUUGCGUCAAAAUGUUAUAUAAAUUUUGUGAGUUCGUUGCAAUAAGCAGAGUAUGAUAUUAUAAACGAAUCUAUUUAAAGAUGUUACAGAUUAGGUAGUUAUUUAUCUCACUUACUCUGCUUAUUUCCAACUUGAUUUACUUUAGGUACCGUACUUCAGUUAACUUAUUUGUGCAAAGGAGUAAGAGGGCAUAUACUGCAGAUUCUAGAGGAAUUUUCUACUGUUCACUUGUUAAUUCGCAUGUUAGAAUGUUUAUUCUCAGUUUUGGGAUAGUGCUCACUUGAUCAAUACAUGUGUUUUUGUAGCUCAUUUUGCUUGAUUCAUACCCACAACCCAUUCAUCACUAGAGCCUGUCAUGCCUGCAUUGUCAUGGACCCUCACAAGGCACCACCAGUCAAUAGUGUGUCCAGAAAAAUGAUUUGUCGGUCCAUAAAUGGAAGCGGGUUGCUACCCCUGUCUCCCUAUUGCUUAGGUUCUAUAUGAUUGGGACUGACCCAUAAAUGAAAGACUAAUGGAACAUAUCCCUUUCUCUUCAAGUUCAAACUAUUAAGGGAUUUGUAUUAAAAUAAUGAUCAAUCUCCUCUUGAUGAUAAUGGCCUAGAUUUUUUAAAUCUCCUUUCCUUUGACAGUUAUAUUUUUGGUAGAUCACAUAAUCAUGGUGUAUCAUGUGUCCUGUUCAAUGCAGAAUUGUAUGUACACUUUUUGUUCUCAGCGUUGCUCAUGUUUCCCCCUUCGAGUCAAGAUUAUUUUCUAUUUGCUUAGUUGCAGCUAUAGGGGAAGAGUUGCUUCUCUUUUUAAUCAUCUUUCAUGUUACCAUGAAGAUUAUGCCCAUUUAAUUCAGCUGUGUACAUAACACAUCCAUGUGUGAAGGCCACGUGUGCAUGGUUAUUAAAAUCGUAUUUACUAUUUCUAUAGUUGUAUUGGAUUCCUCCAUCUCAUUCCAAAAGUGUGUUGUUCUGAAGAGUAACCUUUACCAAAUGAUAGAAAUGAGAGUAAUUUUUUUUAAAAUUUACAUGGUUUGGACCACACAAACAUUUAGAAAUGGUUUGGACACAAACUUAUGGCCCAGAAGUUAUAUAUGCAAGAUGGAGCUUCGGCUUCUAAGACAAAAAAAUAAAUUUGUAGCUAACUAAAGAGUUCUCAUUUGAUUUGGAUUACAAACUGCAAGUGCCAAUUAUUAGUUUGCCUUUAUGCAUCUUAUAUCCGAAUUUAGAGGUAUUUUAAUAUUAGUAAUGUCCGGUAAGUGUAGUUGCUUUGUUCGUCUUUUUGGAACUAUUUUUUCAUUAUUUCUACUAGGUGGGGUAUAUUUGAGGUGGAAAAACUUGCAGGCUAAUGUCUUGCCAUUCUGUCUGUUUAUAAUUACAUCCAACAGGCUAAAGAUGGCUCUUGGUUGACGGUGCAAUUUUAUUGUCGCAUUGAGAUCCCUGAGCUACAACAAGCUGGGGCCAAGGCCGGAGGAAGAAACAAGGUUCUUCUUAUGGCUGCUCCUUCAAAACGGACUUUGGACUGCUGAUUGUUUGAGGAACAGGAGAUGGAAUCACAACAAUAACUGCUGCCUGUGUGGCCAAGCUCUCGAAGAUGCCAAUCAUCUCUUCCUUUCGUGCCCUUUUUUGAAGGAGGUCUGUUGUAUAGUGUUGUCCACUGAGCUAUGUCAGUUCAGGCUGAACUUAUUGAAGGUUCUACUCUGGUGGAACA